rnacentral:rRNA from 1 species
CAGGGAUUGCCUCAGUAACGGCGAGUGAAGCGGCAACAGCUCAAAUUUGAAAUCUGACCCCUCCGGGGCCCGAGUUGUAAUUUGUAGAGGGUGUUUCGGGCGCGGCGCCGGUCCAAGUUCCUUGGAACAGGACGUCAUAGAGGGUGAGAAUCCCGUACGUGACCGGCGGCCAAGCCCAUGUGAAGCCCCUUCGACGAGUCGAGUUGUUUGGGAAUGCAGCUCAAAAUGGGUGGUAAAUUUCAUCUAAAGCUAAAUACCGGCCAGAGACCGAUAGCGGACAAGUAGAGUGAUCGAAAGAUGAAAAGCACUUUGGAAAGAGAGUCAAACAGUACGUGAAAUUGUUGAAAGGGAAGCGCUUGCAAUCAGACCGGUCCGGGGGCGAUCAGCCGCUGCUCGUCAGCGGUGCACUCGCCCCCGAUCCGGCCAGCAUCGGUUUGGGCGGCGGGAAAAAAGGCCCGGGAAUGUAGCUUCCCUCGGGGAGUCUUAUAGCCCGGGUCGUCAUGCCGCCCGCCCGGACCGAGGACCGCGCUUCGGCUAGGAUGCUGGCGUAAUGGUUGCAAGCGACCCGUCUUGAAACACGGACCAAGGAGUCUAACAUCUAUGCGAGUGUUUGGGUGUCAAACCCGGGCGCGGAAUGAAAGUGAACGGAGGUGGGAACCCUCGGGCGCACCAUCGACCGAUCCAGAUGUCUUCGGAUGGAUUUGAGUACGAGCAUAGCUGUUGGGACCCGAAAGAUGGUGAA